rnacentral:rRNA from 1 species
UACAGAGGUCCCAAGCGUUGUUCGGAUUCAUUGGGCGUAAAGGGUGCGUAGGCGGCGCGGUAAGUCGGGUGUGAAAUCUCGGAGCUUAACUCCGAAACUGCAUUCGAUACUGCCGUGCUUGAGGACUGGAGAGGAGACUGGAAUUUACGGUGUAGCGGUGAAAUGCGCAGAUAUCAGGAAGAACACCCGUGGCGAAGGCGGCUCUCUGGGACGGUACUGACGCUGAGACGCGAAAGCGUGGGGAGCGAACAGGG